UACGAAAGGAGCAAGUGUUAUUCAGAUUAACUGGGCGUAAAGAGCUCGUAGGCGGUUUGUCGCGUCGGCCGUGAAAUCUCCACGCUUAACGUGGAGCGUGCGGUCGAUACGGGCAGACUUGAGUUCGGUAGGGGAGACUGGAAUUCCUGGUGUAGCGGUGAAAUGCGCAGAUAUCAGGAGGAACACCGGUGGCGAAGGCGGGUCUCUGGGCAGUAACUGACGCUGAGGAGCGAAAGCGUGGGGAGCGAACAGG
rnacentral:rRNA from 1 species